rnacentral:rRNA from 1 species
AAAUCCGUUGGGUCAAUACUGAGAACUGAUGACGAGUCUCCUCGGAGACAAAGUAACUGAUACCAUGCUUCCAAGAAAAGCCUCUAAGCUUCAGGUAACACCAACCCGUACCCCAAACCGACACAGGUGGACUAGUAGAAAAUACCAAGGCGCUUGAGAGAACUCGGGUGAAGGAACUAGGCAAAAUGACACCGUAACUUCGGGAGAAGGUGUGCCUCAAGUAAGUGAAAGAGAACAUCUGGAGCUGAAAGAGGUUGCAAAAAAUCGGUGGUUGCGACUGUUUAUUAAAAACACAGCACUCUGCAAACACGAAAGUGGACGUAUAGGGUGUGACGCCUGCCCGGUGCCGGAAGGUUAAUUGAUGGGGUUAGCGAAAGCAAAGCUCUUGAUCGAAGCCCCGGUAAACGGCGGCCGUAACAAUAACGGUCCUAAGGUAGCGAAAUUCCUUGUCGGGUAAGUUCCGACCUGCACGAAUGGCGUAACGACAGCCACACUGUCUCCACCCGAGACUCAGUGAAAUUGAAUUCGCUGUGAAGAUGCAGUGUACCCGUGGC